CAGUCGCCGCGGGAAUACAGAGGGUGCAAGCGUUAAUCGGAAUUACUGGGCGUAAAGCGCGCGUAGGUGGUUUGUUAAGUUGGAUGUGAAAUCCCCGGGCUCAACCUGGGAACUGCAUCCAAAACUGGCAAGCUAGAGUAUGGUAGAGGGUGGUGGAAUUUCCUGUGUAGCGGUGAAAUGCGUAGAUAUAGGAAGGAACACCAGUGGCGAAGGCGACCACCUGGACUGAUACUGACACUGAGGUGCGAAAGCGUGGGGAGCAAACAGGAUUAGAGACCCCCGUAGUCCCUGUCUCUUAUAC
rnacentral:rRNA from 1 species